GGAUCUGCCCUUGGGACCCAUUUAUCACCUCAUUUCCCUUCUUAACUCCUGUUUAUCUCUCCUGCUCCUACUCAAAGGAACAGGAAAACACCCAGUACAGCACUUCAUUUUAUUAAAUAGAUUGCUCUGGGUGAAAAACAAGGUUGUCCACCUGGAGCUGUGAUAAGUCUUUUUUUCUGUACUAUGAGGACACUAGGUGUGAACAGAUACUGACAUCGGAAAGUUGAGGGUUGAGGAGCGGGGUGAGGAGGAAAGAAAGAAUGGCAAAGGAGUUAUGUUGCAGUCAGUAAAGGUUAGAAAUGAAUCACAAGAUCGGGGUAGGAAACCAAGUAAUAAAAUAAGUGCAUAAUAGUGGGUUGCCAGGUAGACAGUGGCUCAUACUGAAGUGAUAACGGCAGUGCAGCAGGGAGGCUGAGCCACAGAAAGGAGUGGGCGAGAUGGAAAAAUAAAGAGAGAAUAAUGAAAGCCAACACAGAGGGGGAGAGCAGAGGAGUCUGUCACUUUGUCUUAGGAGAAAUUAAGAAGCAGACAAAUUAUAAGUGUACUUUCAUUUGGAAACAUGAUCAGACAGUCUGAGAUGGGUGCUCCUGGGUGAAGUGAUCAUGGCUUGUAGGUGCCUGUGAGUAGCUCGCUCUGACCUGACAUGGGAAGGACCAGGACUUGCCAACAUUUGCAGGUGGCGAUGAAGUGCAAGACUGAGGGGAUGCGUGGGGGCUCAUUGGAUCUCUUUGGUUCUUCUGUUCAGAAAGAAAAGAGCAGAAGAACAUGGCUAACAUUCUUAAGGGCCCUGGGCCAAUGCGGGUGUUCUCAUUGAAUUUUCACCAGGGCCCUAUGCAAUAGGUGCUGGUUUUAUCCCUCUAGUUCAGAUGAGAAAACUGAGGCCAGGAGCUUGUUCAAGAUCACAUGAGCAGCAAGGACUCUUGCUUCCGAUCUCCCUGACACCUGCCUGCCCAGGUUGCCUCCUGAAGCCACUGCAUCACCGUGAAUGUGCAUCUCCCACGAGGGCGGGUGUGUGGCUUGCAGCCACAGGGAGGCGUUUUCAGGGCCCACCUGGAGUUGGAUGACAUUGUUUUCCUUUGUCCUGACACCAGAAAGGAAACUGGCAUGGCCACUCUGAACAUUUUUUCUUCUUUGGCAUUUGGUUGCCUUUUUUCCCUCCUCCAUUGGCAAUAGUUCUAUCAGGUUCUCAGUCAAAAUAACGCAUUGCCCAAGCACAAACGUGACCCUCGCUGUGUCAUGGGAACACAUUGCACAGAGAACUCCAUCACACUCAAACACCAGCCGUGCCUUGCCAGCCCUGAUGGACUUGAAGUUUGGAUAAGAUUUAAGUUUGUGGAGCAGCUCAGCUCUGGGAGCGUGGUAAGAGUGGGAUCUAGAGAGAUGGGAGUUCCUCCUGCAAACGUGCUCUUGAGCCUAUCUUGAGGUCAGUAACCAUGCUCAGCCACAGUGGCCUCUGCAGGUUGAGGAAGGAUUCUCUGUCCUUCCAGAAGCUUCUCUCUAGUUUCAAAUGUCAUACCCAAAUGAAGAAAGGAAUGCUUCCUUUGAAAUUGAUGCCAUCCUUGGAGCCACCACACUGAGUGUGGGCCUCUUGCACCCCCAUGCAGGGUCCUGCUUUGCUCUUCCUGUCUUCCCUGCUGCAAGACCUCAGGGAAUGCCCAUGGACCGGGCACUUCCUGAGCAGGUUUCCACUCAAAGAAACACUCAGCAAAAUAAAGAAAGUUCCUAGCGUACCGUCCAGGCCUACCUAAUGUUUCAUGAGGACAAUAGAAGGCAUCAUUUGUUUUCAGAGCAUAAUUUUAUUAUAUCUUAAUGCAAGAAAAGGUCUCAGAGUUAUGACCUCCAGCUUUUCAUAUCCUAGGAGGAGAUUGCUCUUAAAGGGAUGCUCAUCUAAACCAAACUCAAGACAGCGAUGUCUAGAACAAGAAAGCUGACAUGUUGAUCUGUGCUCAAACCAGAGUUGAGCUGGCUCCGAGAGCUUCUGGUCUCCAGGAUCCACAUGGCCUUUGGAAACCAAAGCUCAAUUCCAGGGGCUCAGGGCCAGAGAAUCAAGCAAAUGUGCUGUUUACAGAAACUGAAAUAAUUCACUCAUUCAACAAAUAUUAGUCAGCACCUACUCUGGUCUAGCAACUGUUUUCAGGGCUGUGACCAAGACAGACAACACCUUUGUCGAGCAUGGAGCUUAAGUUCUAGUUAGUCGUAGAUUCUGAGAUUGAAUCCCUAGAAAAAUGAAGAAGGCAAAUGUCAAAUAGUAACUGUCAGAAAGGAAACACAACAGGCGCGUGUGUUGCAGGAGCUGGGAAAGGCUGAGGCCCGGAUGACCCGAAGACCCGUCCAUGUGCAGGCCAGGAAGGGUGCUCCAUGCAAAAGCACAGCAGGUGCAAAGGCCUUGAACUGGGGAUGAGGGUGGCUCAAGGAUGCGAUCAAGUUCAACUCACAAAGGGGGAGCUGAUUGUGAAAUUCAAAGGAGAUCCUUGUAGCUUCGAAGGCCGGACCAUGGUCUGAGACAGAGCAGAGAAUCAGCAGACGGAACAGGUUAAUAAAGCAAUGGACUGAAAUGUUCAGGAUUCCUCUGGUUGUUCUAUGUGAUUUCCCAUGGCUGUCUCACCCCUCAAAGCUGUUGGCAUGGUGCCCGGACUGCUGACCGCACUCAGAUACAUGUUAACAAAUGGUCGCGGCACUGCAGAAAGCAGAGUGGAGUGGAUUGGACAGCCCUGCAGUAGCUAAAUACUUUUGUUAGAAUGCAAGUGUCUGUAGCCACAGAUGAUCAGCUUUCUCCAUUCACCAAGAUGGCCCAUGCAGGCCUUGGCUUCCCGGGGAGAAUUAGUUUUCAUCUCUGACUUAGACUUUUUUUUGUUAAGGAACAACACAUGUCACAUAAAACUUUUUUUUGACAUGACAAUACCUGGAAUAAUUAGAUACAUAAAGAACAAUGAGGGAGCUGCGCUUUCCUGAGUGUAUUUUGAGCAGUUAUUACCCACCAUCAGUGCCUUUCAAAUGUCACUUGUGGAGUGUUCGUCUGUUUGUCGUGAAGCACAAAACUUUUUCUCUAUUCUUUGCCAAAGUAGUUGAGAGCAUUUUAAAUCUCUGUGUUGAACUAUGGCAAGUCACUCCAAAAUUAAAGUGCUCAAAACCUUUAUUUUGAAAAGCCCGAACGGUGCCCAUCAAAGCAGCACAGAGAACACUGUCUUUUCAGUACUCACCCAGCUCAUUCCUCUGGAAAUGUCAGAUAUGCUCUCAUUUAAAUAAUUUGACAGCUCACAAGAAGCCAUCUGAUGAGUAUUGCAUUCAAUUGUUAAAAGUACAACAAAAAAAGUCAAGAAGUUUUUCUUCCAAAGAAUUUAUCAUUAAUUCACACAAGCUACUUUAUAUGUGGUCGCCUACUAAAUGCAAUUAUUUAAUUUCUCUGUUUCUUUCUCUCUCCCUCUCCUUCUCUUUUUCUGCAAGUGGAGGCUGCGAAGACCCAUUUUAAUAUAAAGGACACUUGGGCUCUUCACCUGAAAUGAAAAAACAAUGCAUUAAGGCUGUUAAGUAGGCUUCGCACAUUCAAUAUGUUUGCAGGAAUGUCUAAACACAGAAGUGUUUGACACAUAUAGAAAAAUACAUGUAUUUUAAAGACAUGCUUGACUCAAAGCACCCGAACAUUUUAUUUACCACCAUGAGGCAGCUCAUUGAAAAUCCAGCCUGGCCUGUUUUGUGACUGUACACAUUCCGUUUGGUUAAAGCAGCACUCAGUGUGCAGGGGUGGUUGUGUACCUCCUUAAACUUGUGUCCUGGACGUUGAAUUUGACCGGAUAGAAAUGAACACGAGCCCCUGAAAGAAGAGGUGAUCGCCACUCAUCUUGUUCCCAGGAUGUUCCAGACGUGGGGAGACAAACGCUAGGCUUGCUGUGGUUUGCAGUGUCUCAGGUUGAAUGGACGUUGCAGGUCUAGGGGAUGGAUACCCAGGGAUGCAAGGGAGUCAGGGGCUCCCUUACAGCUGUUCCCAUACCUGUCAUUCAUUUAGCUCUUUAGCCUCUACUAUGUCUUCCUCUUCUACUACUUUCUGUCUUUGGGUUAAAAUGUGGAGAGCUGACUUGAGUGAGUAGCACACUCUCAUGCUCGGGCCAGCCCUCCACAUCAUGAGUGGGCUGCAGCCACCCCAGGCUUCUGGGAAUAAGGUGGGGUACGGGAAGCAGUUAAGAAAUUGUUUUGCUGACACAGCCCACUUGUACAGAGCACCUUGUCUCUGAGGGAACGGCUGUCCUCUGUUGGGGAAAAUCGGGCCCAGCGAGCCUGCCUUGCUGUGCACAUUUGGGAUGUGGCCGGAGCCUCAGCAUCCACUUGGGAGGGUGUGUACCGGCUGCCGUGUUUCCUUUCGGCAGGCUUAAAUUCAUUUCUUCAGAUGUUCCCGUUAGUUAACAAUGAUUGAUAGAGUAAAGACAUUAUUAAUAAAAAUUAGGCACCCAGCUAGCGAAUGGACUUUUGUUCGUGCCUCAGCACUCAGCGAAGGGCAGAUGAAAAAGCUGUUUGCAGCAGCAUGCAAUUGGAAUGAGUCGGGCCAGGUGGAAAAUGAACUCGGCCAUUCAUCAAAGCUGUCAGGACGGGUCUCUCACCAGAAGUGUUUACCAGUGUUCACCACGAGCUUCCGAGUUCUGCUAAUGGGAGCUCGUUCGACUGUAACUCAGAGGACUUGGGAAACGACUUGGGUGACUUCGCAUACCUAUUUUACUGAAUUCGCCUAAGUGUGACUCUUGAUGCUGACACUUAUGAGAAUGCACAGUGGGACUUCCAGAAAAGUUACCAGUGCAGUUCAGAAAAAUGCCUCCGUGAGGGCGGGAGCCUUUGAGGAAGUCCAGGUGGCAUGUGCUCUGGGGAGGGGAAGAAGCAAGGGGCACAGCGGCGUCAGGAGUGAAAAACGAGCCGCUUAUUCCACGCACAUAAUAACAUAAAUCUGAUUCAAAAAAGUGAGAGACAAGAGGAGUCGACAGGAAAGCAUAUGGAAAAAGUUAAAUAAAAACCCAAGCUGCUAUCACCAUUAC